rnacentral:rRNA from 1 species
GACGAACGCUGGCGGCGUGCUUAACACAUGCAAGUCGAACGGAAAGGCCCUGCUUUUGUGGGGUGCUCGAGUGGCGAACGGGUGAGUAACACAUGAGUAACCUGCCCUUGACUUUGGGAUAACUUCAGGAAACUGGGGCUAAUACCGGAUAGGAGCUCCUGCUGCAUGGUGGGGGUUGGAAAGUUUCGGCGGUUGGGGAUGGACUCGCGGCUUAUCGGCUUGUUGGUGGGGUAGUGGCUUACCAAGGCUUUGACGGGUAGCCGGCCUGAGAGGGUGACCGGCCACAUUGGGACUGAGAUACGGCCCAGACUCCUACGGGAGGCAGCAGUGGGGAAUAUUGCACAAUGGGCGGAAGCCUGAUGCAGCAACGCCGCGUGCGGGAUGACGGCCUUCGGGUUGUAAACCGCUUUCGCCUGUGACGAAGCGUGAGUGACGGUAAUGGGUAAAGAAGCACCGGCUAACUACGUG